UACAGAGGGGGCAAGCGUUGUUCGGAAUUAUUGGGCGUAAAGGGCGCGCAGGCGGCUCUGAAAGUCAGAUGUGAAAGCCCCGGGCUUAACCUGGGAAGUGCACUUGAUACUGCGUCGCUUGAGUGUCGGAGGGGGUGGCGGAAUUCCCGGUGUAGAGGUGAAAUUCGUAGAUAUCGGGAGGAACACCUGUGGCGAAGGCGGCCACCUGGACGACAACUGACGCUGAGACGCGAAAGCGUGGGUAGCAAACAGG
rnacentral:rRNA from 1 species